rnacentral:rRNA from 1 species
UUGGGGUAACUUCAGGAAACUGGGGCUAAUACCGGAUAGGAGCUCCUGCUGCAUGGUGGGGGUUGGAAAGUUUCGGCGGUUGGGGAUGGACUCGCGGCUUAUCAGCUUGUUGGUGGGGUAGUGGCUUACCAAGGCUUUGACGGGUAGCCGGCCUGAGAGGGUGACCGGCCACAUUGGGACUGAGAUACGGCCCAGACUCCUACGGGAGGCAGCAGUGGGGAAUAUUGCACAAUGGGCGGAAGCCUGAUGCAGCAACGCCGCGUGCGGGAUGACGGCCUUCGGGUUGUAAACCGCUUUCGCCUGUGACGAAGCGUGAGUGACGGUAAUGGGUAAAGAAGCACCGGCUAACUACGUGCCAGCAGCCGCGGUGAUACGUAGGGUGCGAGCGUUGUCCGGAUUUAUUGGGCGUAAAGGGCUCGUAGGUGGUUGAUCGCGUCGGAAGUGUAAUCUUGGGGCUUAACCCUGAGCGUGCUUUCGAUACGGGUUGACUUGAGGAAGGUAGGGGAGAAUGGAAUUCCUGGUGGAGCGGUGGAAUGCGCAGAUAUCAGGAGGAACACCAGUGGCGAAGGCGGUUCUCUGGGCCUUUCCUGACGCUGAGGAGCGAAAGCGUGGGGAGCGAACAGGCUUAGAUACCCUGGUAGUCCACGCUGUAAACGGUGGGUACUAGGUGUGGGGUCCAUUCCACGGGUUCCGUGCCGUAGCUAACGCUUUAAGUACCCCGCCUGGGGAGUACGGCCGCAAGGCUAAAACUCAAAGGAAUUGACGGGGCCCCGCACAAGCGGCGGAGCAUGCGGAUAAUUCGAUGCAACGCGUAGAAC